GACGAACGCUGGCGGCGUGCCUAACACAUGCAAGUCGAACGGAGACAUUUAGCAAUAGAUGUCUUAGUGGCGGACGGGUGAGUAACGCGUGAGCAAUCUGCCCUUCGGAGGGGGACAACAGCUGGAAACGGCUGCUAAUACCGCAUGAUGUAUUCGGGUGGCAUCACUUGAAUACCAAAGAUUUAUCGCCGAAGGAUGAGCUCGCGUCUGAUUAGCUAGUUGGUAGGGUAACGGCCUACCAAGGCUUCGAUCAGUAGCCGGACUGAGAGGUUGAACGGCCACAUUGGGACUGAGAUACGGCCCAGACUCCUACGGGAGGCAGCAGUGGGGAAUAUUGGGCAAUGGGCGAAAGCCUGACCCAGCAACGCCGCGUGAAGGAAGAAGGCCCUCGGGUUGUAAACUUCUUUGACCAGGGACGAAAAAAAUGACGGUACCUGGAAAACAAGCCACGGCUAACUACGUG
rnacentral:rRNA from 1 species